UACGGAGGGUGCAAACGUUGCUCGGAAUCAUUGGGCGUAAAGCGCACGUAGGCGGCCUGUUAAGUCGGGUGUGAAAGCCCUGGGCUCAACCCAGGAAGUGCACUCGAAACUGACGGGCUUGAAUAUGGAAGAGGGUCGCGGAAUUCCCGGUGUAGAGGUGAAAUUCGUAGAUAUUAGGAAGAACACCAGUGGCGAAGGCGGCUCACUGGUCCGGUACUGACGCUGAGGUGCGAAAGCGUGGGGAGCAAACAGG
rnacentral:rRNA from 1 species